rnacentral:lncRNA from 10 species
UGCUUAAUGGGUACGGAGUUUGUGUUUGGAAUGAUGAAAUGUUCUGGAAAUCAGUGGGGUAAUGGUUGCACAACAUCGUGAAUGUGCUUACUGCCACUGAAUUGUAUACUUGAAAAUGGCUAAAAUGGUAACUCUUAUGUACAUCUUUCCGCAAUUUUAGAAAGCCACAAUGAGGCAGAAUUACAACACAGGAGGGUAAAUACUAAGGUUCUGCCUAAAGGCUUGGUCCUCCUCGUGGCCUUGGAUGACCUCAUCCCCCUCGAGGGGGACGCCCGGGGACUUUCCCACCCUUCUGAACCCAGCCUUCUCAUUCUCUGAUUUUCAUCCAGGCUCCCCUAUUCCAGCACAGCCUCCAUUUCCUCAGGUGUCUCGGCUUCCAUUCUUAUCCCGAGUUUCCAGCUUCAGCCAGGUGCCCAGGGAUGCUUGCUAUGGCCGGAUCCAAAGGCCAAGGCAAGAGGAAACAACGCAGCUCUCUGGGGAUAAGGGUGGGCGGCAUCUCCCAGUCGGGUUUCCUUUUCAGCAUCUGCCGGGAGGGCUGCAGGCCGGCUGGGUAUUUUCAUAGCUGAUCUACUCAAACAAACACAUCUCCUAAAGACAAAUGUUGGUUAUGUUCUCUGAAGACACUACAGUUUAAAUCCACAUUGGGGAACUCCCCCACUAGCCAGGCACCUGUUCUGCCCUUGAAGUCGGCGGGUCCCCAUCCCUGGGCAGAGGAGCUUUUGGUUUCUGACGUUGUCCUCCUGAGGCUGCUGGAAUCACAGAAAGACCUCAUUCCCCUUUAAUGUCAGCUUUCCCAUCCCCUGCGUGUGGUCUCAAGACCUUGGAG